UCCGUCCUACGGGGGGCAGCAGUGGGGAAUAUUGCGCAAUGGGCGAAAGCCUGACGCAGCGACGCCGCGUGAGGGAUGAAGGUCUUCGGAUCGUAAACCUCUGUCAGCAGGGAAGAACGGUCACUGUGCUAAUCAGCAGUGAAUUGACGGUACCUGCAAAGGAAGCACCGGCUAACUCCGUGCCAGCAGCCGCGGUAAUACGGAGGGUGCGAGCGUUAAUCGGAAUUACUGGGCGUAAAGCGCACGUAGGCUGUUGUGUAAGUCAGGGGUGAAAUCCCACGGCUCAACCGUGGAACUGCCCUUGG
rnacentral:rRNA from 1 species